rnacentral:rRNA from 1 species
UACGAAGGGUGCAAGCGUUACUCGGAAUUACUGGGCGUAAAGCGUGCGUAGGUGGUUCGUUAAGUCUGAUGUGAAAGCCCUGGGCUCAACCUGGGAAUGGCAUUGGAAACUGGCGACCUAGAGUGCGGUAGAGGGUAGUGGAAUUCCCGGUGUAGCAGUGAAAUGCGUAGAGAUCGGGAGGAACAUCCGUGGCGAAGGCGACUUUCUGGUCUGUAACUGACGCUGAGGCGCGAAAGCGUGGGGAGCAAACAGG